rnacentral:rRNA from 1 species
UAGGGAAUCUUCCACAAUGGACGCAAGUCUGAUGGAGCAACGCCGCGUGAGUGAAGAAGGUUUUCGGAUCGUAAAGCUCUGUUGUUGGUGAAGAAGGAUAGAGGUAGUAACUGGCCUUUAUUUGACGGUAAUCAACCAGAAAGUCACGGCUAACUACGUGCCAGCAGCCGCGGUAAUACGUAGGUGGCAAGCGUUGUCCGGAUUUAUUGGGCGUAAAGCGAGCGCAGGCGGAAGAAUAAGUCUGAUGUGAAAGCCCUCGGCUUAACCGAGGAACUGCAUCGGAAACUGUAUUUCUUGAGUGCAGAAGAGGAGAGUGGAAUUCCAUGUGUAGCGGUGGAAUGCGUAGAUAUAUGGAAGAACACCAGUGGCGAAGGCGACUCUCUGGUCUGCAACUGACGCUGAGGCUCGAAAGCAUGGGUAGCGAACAGG